rnacentral:rRNA from 1 species
GACGAACGCUGGCGGCGUGCUUAACACAUGCAAGUCGAACGGUGAAGCUCCAGCUUGCUGGAGUGGAUCAGUGGCGAACGGGUGAGUAACACGUGAGCAACCUGCCCCUGACUCUGGAAUAAGCGCUGGAAACGGCGUCUAAUACUGGAUACGAGAAGGGUCCGCAUGGGCACUUUCUGGAAAGUUUUUCGGUUGGGGAUGGGCUAGCGGCCUAUCAGCUUGUUGGUGAGGUAAUGGCUCACCAAGGCGACGACGGGUAGCCGGCCUGAGAGGGCGACCGGCUCCAGGGGCAUAGGGAAGACGCCCAAAUCCCCUCGGGGGGCAUGAGUGGGAAAUUUUCCCAAAUGGGCCAAGUCCUUGUUGAGGGCCCCCGGAUGGGGGAUGCCGGCUUUGGGGUUUUAACCUUCUUUCAAGGGGGAAGAAGCGAAAUUGACGUUACCUCCAGGAAAACCCCCGGUAAAUAAGUG